AGGGGUCUAUAAGGACUGGUCUUUCUGCAGGGCUGAGAUGUGGAGGGGUCUAUAAGGUCUUUCUGCAGGGCUGAGAUGUGGAGGGGUCUAUAAGGACUGGUCUUUCUGCAGGGCUGAGAUGUGGAGGGGUCUAUAAGGUCUGGUCUUUCUGCAGGGCUGAGAUGUGGAGGGGUCUAUAAGGUCUUUCUGC